rnacentral:rRNA from 1 species
UACGUAGGGUGCAAGCGUUGUCCGGAAUUAUUGGGCGUAAAGAGCUCGUAGGCGGUCUGUCGCGUCUGCUGUGAAAACUCAGGGCUUAACCCUGAGCCUGCAGUGGGUACGGGCAGACUAGAGUGCGGUAGGGGAGACUGGAAUUCCUGGUGUAGCGGUGAAAUGCGCAGAUAUCAGGAGGAACACCGGUGGCGAAGGCGGGUCUCUGGGCCGUAACUGACGCU